CCUACGGGCUGCAGCAGUGAGGAAUAUUGGUCAAUGGACGCAAGUCUGAACCAGCCAUGCCGCGUGCAUGAAGACGGCCCUCUGAGUUGUAAACUGCUUUUGUACGAGGGUAAACGCUGAUACGCGUAUCUUUCUGAAUGUACCUUACGAAUAAGGAUCGGCUAACCCCGUGCCAGCCGCCGCGGUAAUACGGAGGAUUCAAGCGUUAUCCGGAUUUAUUGGGUUUAAAGGGUGCGUAGGCGGUCGGAUAAGUUAGGGGUGAAAUCCCGAGGCUCAACUUGGGAAUUGCCUUUGAUACUGGUCGGCUAGAGAGUAGUUGCGGUAGGCGGAAUGGAUGGUGUAGCGGUGAAAUGCUUAGAGAU
rnacentral:rRNA from 1 species